rfam:Yersinia mollaretii ATCC 43969 contig00428, whole genome shotgun sequence.
CUGUGAUGUGUAUCACAUAAAAAUAACGAUAUUUACAGGAGCAACCCAUGAAAUUGAUCAAUAAAGUUAUCGCAAUGUUUGAAAAAAUGAGUGUUUCAUUUGGCACCAUCAACGGUUAAUCGCCUUAUUCAUACUUUGUAAACUGCCACCAUGUUCUGGGGCGGUUGCGAUAUCGAGUUAAAAACGCUUUAGCCGUCUAGAACUAACAGUGAAAUUCGAUAAAUAUGAGACGCUCUAUUCAUCGAAUUUCAUAUUUCUACCGCAAAGCGCAACUUGUUAUUGAGAUUAAUCUCAGGCCACAAUCCUAA